UCCGUAGGUGGAGAAUUAAGUCAGAGGUGAAAUCCUGCAGCUCAACUGUAGAAUUGCCUUUGAUACUGGUUAUCUUGAGUCAUUAUGAAGUGGUUAGAAUGUGUAGUGUAGCGGUGAAAUGCAUAGAUAUUACACAGAAUACCGAUUGCGAAGGCAGAUCACUAAUAAUGUACUGACACUGAUGGACGAAAGCGUGGGGAGCGAACAGGAUUAGAUACCCUGGUAGUCC
rnacentral:rRNA from 1 species